UAGGGAAUCUUCCGCAAUGGGCGAAAGCCUGACGGAGCAACGCCGCGUGAGUGAAGAAGGAUUUCGGUUCGUAAAGCUCUGUUGUUAGGGAAGAAUGAUUAUGUAGUAACUAUACAUAGUAGAGACGGUACCUAACCAGAAAGACACGGCUAACUACGUGCCAGCAGCCGCGGUAAUACGUAGGUGGCAAGCGUUGUCCGGAAUUAUUGGGCGUAAAGCGCGCGCAGGUGGUUUAAUAAGUCUGAUGUGAAAGCCCACGGCUCAACCGUGGAGGGUCAUUGGAAACUGUUAAACUUGAGUGCAGGAGAGAAAAGUGGAAUUCCUAGUGUAGCGGUGAAAUGCGUAGAGAUUAGGAGGAACACCGGUGGCGAAAGCGGCUCUCUGGCUUGUAACUGACGCUGAGGCUCGAAAGCGUGGGGAGCAAACAGGAUUAGAUACCCUGGUAGUCCACGCCGUAAACGAUGAGUGCUAGGUGUUAGACCCUUUCCGGGGUUUAGUGCCGCAGCUAACGCAUUAAGCACUCCGCCUGGGGAGUACGACCGCAAGGUUG
rnacentral:rRNA from 1 species